CCUACGGGAGGCAGCAGUGGGGAAUAUUGGACAAUGGGCGAAAGCCUGAUCCAGCCAUGCCGCGUGUGUGAAGAAGGCCUUCGGGUUGUAAAGCACUUUCAGUGAGGAAGAAAGCCUUGGGGUUAAUACCCUCGAGGGAGGACAUCACUCACAGAAGAAGCACCGGCUAACUCCGUGCCAGCAGCCGCGGUAAU
rnacentral:rRNA from 1 species